GGAGCUGUAGCUCAGCUGGUUAGAGUGCCUGCCUGUCACGCAGGAUGUCCCGGGUACGAGUCCCGUCAGCUCCG
rnacentral:tRNA from 1 species